AGCAGCCGCGGUAAUUCCAGCUCCAAUAGCGUAUAUUAAAGUUGUUGCAGUUAAAAAGCUCGUAGUUGAAUUUUAGGCCUGGCCGGGCGGUCCGUCUUUGGCGAGUACUGUCUGUUGUCGGGUCUUCCUUCUGGUGAACCAAUAUGUCCUUUAUUGGGUGUGCUGGGGAGCCAGGACCAUUACCUUGAAAAAAUUAGAGUGUUUAAAGCAGGCUUUUGCUUGAAUAGAUUAGCAUGGAAUAAUAGAAUAGGACGUUGUGGUUCUAUUUUGUUGGUUUCUAGGACCACCGUAAUGAUUAAUAGGGAUAGUUGGGGGCAUUAGUAUUCAAUUGUCAGAGGUGAAAUUCUUGGAUUUAUUGAAGACUAACUAUUGCGAAAGCAUUUGCCAAGGAUGUUUUCAUUAAUCAAGAACGAAAGUUAGGGGAUCGAAGACGAUCAGAUACCGUCGUAGUCUUAACCAUAAACUAUGCCGACUAGGAAUCCGGCGACGUUAUUUUAAUGACUCGCUCGGCGCCUUAUGG
rnacentral:rRNA from 1 species